UUCAAGUCUUUUUAAUUUAAUCUACUGUUUAACAUUUUAUAUUAUUUUCUAACAAUAUUUCUUAUUUAGUUGGUAAUGCAAGACUUGUACGUUGUAGUUAAGGAGACGAUAGAUUGGAUAAAAGCUUACAUGAUUUUAUUUUCAUUUUUGUUCUCUUGUUCCUCGAUUCAUGGAUGAACGCUGUUGCUUACCAGAUUCAGCAUCUUCUUCCGACGCCUACUGGCUUCUUCUGCAAGUCCUCUCUCUCAUCCCUCUCUGGCAUUACCUUCUCCUUGCAGCGUUCAUUCUAUUCUCUGUUCUCUACAACUUCCUUGAACUCCAUUUCUUUCAAGAUCUCUUCUCGGGAUUCGCAGGCUCCCCUGUGCUUCUCUCCUACAAUUCCUCCUCUCAAAUCUACCACGCUGUCGUUUCCAAGUGCGAUGUUCUCCGCGGAAGAUAUUUCGCCACGCCCUGGCUCUGCAGUCCUCAUCUUCAGACUCUUUUCCUCAACUACUUCGGCAGACCUCCCUUCCUCAAAUACGCCAGGGAACUGUUUAGGACUGCUGAUGGUGGAACCAUUGCCUUGGAUUGGCUGUUCAGUUCUCACGUUUCGGAUAAUGUUGGUUAUGAAGAUGAAUCUGUUCCCAUUUUUGUGGUUAUUCCUGGCCUCACAAGUGACUCUUCAUCUCAAUCUGACAUUUCCUACAAUGCUGGAUUGACUGAGGAUGUCCGCGCAGUGGUUAAUUAUCUCCAUAAAAAGAGAGCCAAGGCACCACUGUUUGUUGUUGGAACUAGUAUCGGAGCUAAUAUUCUGGUUAAAUAUCUUGGUGAGGAUGGUGAGAAUAUUCCUGUUGCUGGAGCUGUUGCUGUUUGCUCUCCCUGGGACCUUUUGUCACUUUCUGUUCGCGAUUUUGAUGAUCACGCAACCCGUGUAGUUGGGAAGUAUGAGAGUGUGGAUACGUACUAUAGACGUUGCAGUAGUUCCACUUUUGUGCGUUCUGUUUCGGUUCCGCUUUUGUGUAUUAGUGCUCUUGACGAUCCAAUCUGUACAACAGAAGCCAUUCCCUGGGAUGAAUGCAAGGCAAACAAAAACAUUCUGUUGGCUACUGUAAAGCAUGGAGGACAUCUGGCCUUCUUUCAAGGCCUAUCUGCAUCUCGCAUUUGAUGGGUAAGAGCUGUAAAUGAAUUCCUUGGUGUAUUACACAGCAGCAAUUGUAUGCAUGUACAUGAGAAAGGACAAGAGAGAAAGGAUGCAAAUGAAGCGAAGUAGCCUCUAGUUGCAUCAGGGGCAUAGUAUUGUCCAAGUUGUGAGAGUCCG